rnacentral:rRNA from 1 species
CUGCCCUUCACUCUGGGACUGCCCUGGAAACGGGGUCUAAUACCGGAUAAUACUGCGGAUCGCAUGGUCUGCGGUUGAAAGCUCCGGCGGUGAAGGAUGAGCCCGCGGCCUAUCAGCUUGUUGGUGGGGUGAUGGCCUACCAAGGCGACSACGGGUAGCCGGCCUGAGAGGGCGACCGGCCACACUGGGACUGAGACACGGCCCAGACUCCUACGGGAGGCAGCAGUGGGGAAUAUUGCACAAUGGGCGAAAGCCUGAUGCAGCGACGCCGCGUGAGGGAUGACGGCCUUCGGGUUGUAAACCUCUUUCAGCAGGGAAGAAGCGAAAGUGACGGUACCUGCAGAAGAAGCGCCGGCUAACUACGUGCCAGCAGCCGCGGUAAUACGUAGGGCGCAAGCGUUGUCCGGAAUUAUUGGGCGUAAAGAGCUCGUAGGCGGCUUGUCGCGUCGGAUGUGAAAGCCCGGGGCUUAACCCCGGGUCUGCAUUCGAUACGGGCAGGCUAGAGUGUGGUAGGGAGAUCGGAAUUCCUGGUGUAGCGGUGAAAUGCGCAGAUAUCAGAGGAACACCGGUGGCGAAUGCGGAUCUCUGGGCCAUUACUGACGCUGAGGAGCGAAGCGUGGGGGAGCAACAGA